CGUAGGUGGCAAGCGUUUGUCCGGAAUUAUUGGGCGUAAAGCGCGCGCAGGCGGCUUCUUAAGUCCAUCUUAAAAGUGCGGGGCUUAACCCCGUGAUGGGAUGGAAACUGAGAGGCUGGAGUAUCGGAGAGGAAAGUGGAAUUCCUAGUGUAGCGGUGAAAUGCGUAGAGAUUAGGAAGAACACCGGUGGCGAAGGCGACUUUCUGGACGACAACUGACGCUGAGGCGCGAAAGCGUGGGAGCAA
rnacentral:rRNA from 1 species